rnacentral:rRNA from 1 species
GAUGAACGCUGGCGGCGUGCCUAAUACAUGCAAGUCGAGCGAACAGACGAGGAGCUUGCUCCUCUGACGUUAGCGGCGGACGGGUGAGUAACACGUGGAUAACCUACCUAUAAGACUGGGAUAACUUCGGGAAACCGGAGCUAAUACCGGAUAAUAUAUUGAACCGCAUGGUUCAAUAGUGAAAGACGGUUUUGCUGUCACUUAUAGAUGGAUCCGCGCCGCAUUAGCUAGUUGGUAAGGUAACGGCUUACCAAGGCGACGAUGCGUAGCCGACCUGAGAGGGUGAUCGGCCACACUGGAACUGAGACACGGUCCAGACUCCUACGGGAGGCAGCAGUAGGGAAUCUUCCGCAAUGGGCGAAAGCCUGACGGAGCAACGCCGCGUGAGUGAUGAAGGUUUUCGGAUCGUAAAACUCUGUUAUUAGGGAAGGACAAAUGUGUAAGUAACUAUGCACGUCUUGACGGUACCUAAUCAGAAAGCCACGGCUAACUACGUG